rnacentral:tRNA from 1 species
GGUAGUGGCUCAGUGGUAGAGUGCUUGUCUCGCCCAGGUGAGGCCCUGGGUUCGAUCUUCAGCACCA